AACUCGAUCGAUUGAGUGAGUGCGAUUGGCUGAGAGGAAAUUCUAAAUAUUGAACAAUCCUCGUUACGCCACAGAGAAUUCAAUUGAACGACCAAAACUCUUUAAGGGUAGGUAUUUAUACCUCUUUUAUGUCAGCCUCAAACCCUAACCGACAGAAGAGAAAAAAAAAAGAGGAAGGAGAGGAAUAAGGUUAAGCCGCUAUGCUAGAAGGGGAAAACUGAUAAGAACGAGCCAAUUCUUCCUCAUUUCUUUUAUAUUUUCUUUCUAGGUUAGAUUUUAUUGAUUGUUCUAUACACUUGCAGUGUAGCAUCCAGGAGAGAGAGGGAUGACACGAUGGGAGGUCAGGACAAAGACCUUCUGCCGCAAAGGGAGAGAGGCAGCUGAGAACGGGAGAAAAGGGAUAGAGAGAGAGAGAUUCGAUAGAUAAGAAAAAGAAAAAACAUUGGGGAGAGAGAAAGAGAGAAAAAGAGGGAUGCAAUAGAGAAAGAAGAAAAAUAAAAAUAAAAAGAAGAAGACUAGCGCGGAGUGCAAUGGUCCAGCAAAGCAGAGAGGUUACAAUGGCCGAACCAGAGCGGAUCUGUUCCUUGUGUGACCAAAUCUUUGCAAGGAAGAAGGCACGACAGACUGGCAUGCACAACAACGAUGGAUGUGUGCGGGUUUUCCCAGAUAUGUGCACGGUAGAAGAAGUCUCUGCAUGCUAUGGAAGCUUGGUGGCUUUGCGAGAUUUACUCUGCAAUUGAACAUGUUGCAAUCCCGUGGCGAAUUUCAACCAACAUGCAGUGGUGCAUGUGCUAGCACAUGGUGACUCCAGCGAUGAGGACUGCAUGUCCAAGAGAGAACCAUAUACCAUAACCUAGUGUCAGAAGAAGAGGGUGCGUGUGUAAUAAUGAUAUAUGUGGUGAACUUACUUGGAAAGUUCAAUGUCGGACGGGGCUAGGAAAGAAUUUAGUGGUGCCCAUAGCGGCCGAGGUAAUGGGAGCAGCCGACGAUUGUGGCACUCAUACCGGACGAGGUAUUAGGAUGACUGAUGAUUGUGGCUCUCAUACCGGACGAGAUGUGAGGACGAUCGAUGAUUGUGCCACUCAUGCCAGAUGGAGUAUGGAGAUGGCUGAUGAUUGUCAAUGAAUAUGAUUUGUUAUGAAAUAUUUCGUGUAUUCACAUAUAGAGAGAAUCCCUAUGGACUAAUAAUGAUAUUGGUAAAAAAAAGAGUAUCGCAUGAUGAAAUAUAAAAGUAACUAAAAUUUAAUUCUUUAGUGAAAAAAAAGGUAAUUGAUUUGAUAUGUGCAUUAUACUUGGAUACAAAUAUGAUCUGAUAACACUUAUUAUUGGGAAUAAAAAUUGUCUGAAUA